GGUCUUUUUUCGUCAACCCUCUGCACCUAUAUUAUCAAGUGCCGGGGCAACCCGGCUAUGGCGAUAAAUGGCCGUCGUAAUAAACCCAUCGGACCCGGGGGCAGUACCCGGCGGCUCCACCAGAACCCAAGCUAAGGGCCACAAGCAAAGGGCCAAAGGAUGGGUUGUGGCGGGGCCGAACUAGGAUCGACGAGGGCGUAAAGGACGUGUUUUUGCUCGGCAUGGUUCCGCCGUUAUCGGGCCUUUUUCAUAGUUGCCAACGACAACUAUGCUCCGGUUGCUCAGGCUGCGUAACGCAGUCUGAAAGACCGAUUUAAAGUCCUGACGGGUUAAGCUCCGGCAGGCGGGGUUCGGAGGCACCUGGCAACAGAAGCCUCCACU
rnacentral:tmRNA from 1 species